rnacentral:lncRNA from 1 species
GUGUGUUGGAUAGGAGGAUAAUAGACAUCAUCAGGGUUGUAUGUAGGAGUGGGUUGUGCGAAUGUGGUGUUAGAUGUUUGGGGUUGAGAAUGAGGGUUUGAGUAUCCAAAGUUGGGUUGAGGAAUUGGAGUGUAUUGUAUGGGUGGGCGUAGGUUGGUUUGUUGUUGAUAUUGUUGGUUGUAAUAGUAGUUUGUUUGAGGGAAUGGAGUGUGG